rnacentral:lncRNA from 1 species
UUGUGGAAGAUUAGAAGAUAAUGGAUACUAUUAUCCCAUCCAGAUUCCUCUUCAGGACCAAGGACUCAUUUUCCAGCUGGCAGGAAUGUUAGCUACUGAUGGCCAUGGCUGAGUUCCUUUUCAGGAAUUAUCCUCCACUUGAGGGCAAUUGCUUUGUUCAGUGUUACACUCCUUCCAUAGUGGCAGCCCACACUGGUUGAUGUGGGGUACAAAGUCCUGGACCUUGUCUUAGAUGGGAUAGUUCUAUUCCAGCUCCAGAACUCCUCAUAGGAUUGGCUGAGGUCUCCUCUGCAACUGGAUCACAGUUCAACUUUUUCUUCUGCCCAGUCCUGCUUCUCUCAUCUGUUGCCAGUUUUAUUCGUGUGAGCAUUCGGAUCAUCAACACUGUGACCUCGCUGUGUGAACGGGAGCUGCUACAGGAAGGAAGCUUACAAAUGAGCUGCAUGGAUCCCACAUUUUGCUAAAAUCAAAUAGGACCUUUCUCCUCUUUGUUGAAUGCCGUAAUACACAAGAAAUAAGCCAGCGGGAUGCUCAUGUCCAAGGUCUCCCUUUAUCUACCACCCGAGUUGGCAUGAAACAACUUCUGGGGUUCAAAUCUUCUGAACAAUGAUGCAAGUCUUAGCAAAUUUCAAGAACAAUUUAAAGAGGAAAUAAAUAGCAUUUUGUUUAACUUGGUUCAAUUAUCUCCUUUUGCUCCCGGCUUCAUGCCAGGUACUCUCCAUUGUGCCUGGGAAAUAUGAAUCCCUACCUUCAUGAAGAAACAUUGGCCAUGAGGAUCUUCCCUACAACCCAAGGACUAUUUGAAGUUUGAAGUCUUUCAGCCCAGACAACACUGGCUAUUUUCACCUUUGCCUUCAACUAUAAAGGCUGGGCUCUCUCUGCAGGAGUGGGAUCAGGCUGAUCAGAGAUGCCACACAUACCUUCUGCCAUUGGUUGCUAUUCAGAGCAAAACCACAAGGCCUAGAAAUUGCAGGUUCGUUCAUUCUUCAGUGCUUAACAAUCUCCCAAGGAAGGCAGAUGCAUUUUCCAAGAUAGCAGUUUCAUCAAAGAACAGCCAAUAAUGACAAAUAAAGAGCAGCCUGGCGGCUUGAGCUUAUGUCUGUUUCAAGGAUUUACUGAAUACUAAUAGAACAUGGCUUUUGUUGGAGAAAAUGCCUUUGCAGUCAGUGAUUGCCUUGUGUCAUUAAACCUAGCCACCAAUUGGUUUGCCCCACAGAAUCUAUAAUACUUUACCAAAUCAGGGAAAAAUAUUAAUUAGAUUUUUUUUUAAUUUAGGAAGAAGUUGGACUUUAAGUAUGUAUUUAUUUAUUCAAUAGUGAAAAGAUUUGUGUGUAUGGUGAGUGAUUUCCGUUUCAUUACUAUAGAGUGACACAUGGUACAUGUGGGAGGCAGAAUGAAAUGACCUGCAAUCCCAUUCUAGUAAAGGGAGUUUGAAACCCCACCUGACUUGAUAAGCAUAUUUUAUUGGGCCAUCCCGUACAUACACGCCCUGAACUACACAAUUAUGCUUUUCAUUACAUGUUGUGUUACACUUUCUCUAUUUGUAUACAUUGGUUUUUACCUCUCAAGCUAUAAUAUACAUUUCACAAGGUCAUGGUCCUAGUACUUCUUUUACUCAUCCAUGUUGUUAUUAAGAGAAAUUGGGCACAUGUCAUAGGUUGAAAAUACAUGUUAAUUGAGUAGCACAGAUUGUGGGUUCAGAAAGUGAUAGGAAGAAAGAAGGCGGCUUUGGCAGAUUCCAACAGAAGCUGAGUUUUUAAAGGAGUAAACGGAAACAUAUAAAAAAUUUGACCUAAGUGAUGGAAAAAAUAAAACUCUGAGAAGGCGGCUCGUUCCAACUUUCUGCUAAGCCAAGACCUUCAAAACAGGAAUUGAGAAUUUUGAAUGAUGAAGAGAAAUCUUUGGCUAUACCAAAAUAGAUGCAAUCUUCAAAUUACAUAGAUUACAGAGAUGUAAAACCAGAUUAAAAAUCUCAGUUCUUUGAAUAUUUGAUAUACAGGUUUCCCUCUCACUUCUCUCUGUUUUUCAUCUUCAUGAUUUUUGGCCUAAUAAAGACUUCAUUAAAAAUAAACAAA